AAUGAACGCUGGCGGCAGGCCUAAAACAUGCAAGUCGAACGCCCUAGCAAUAGGGAGUGGCGCACGGGUGAGUAACAUGUGGGAAUAUGCCUUUUGGUACGGAACAACGUUUGGAAACGAACGCUAAUACCGUAUGGUCCCUCCGGGGUAAAGAUUUAUCGCCAAAAGAUUAGCCCGCACUAGAUUAGCUAGUUGGUAAGGUAAUGGCUUACCAAGGCGACGAUCUAUAGCUGUUCUGAGAGGAAGAUCAGCCACACGGGGACUGAGACACGGCCCAGACUCCUACGGGAGGCAGCAGUUAGGAAUAUUGGACAAUGGGCGCAAGCUUGAUCCAGCCAUGCCGCGUGAGUGAUGAAGGCCUUCGGGUUGUAAAGCUCUUUAGCCGAAGAAUAUAAUGACUGUAGUCGGAGAAUAAGCCCCGGCUAACUUCGUGCCAGCAGCCGCGGUAACAC
rnacentral:rRNA from 1 species